rnacentral:lncRNA from 1 species
UUCAAUGGCGUUUUUUUGGCUGAUAAUUAUGAAGAAUUACCUAGAAACUCUUUUAAUUGAGAUUUUUUUUAUUUGUUAACUUUUACAAAAUUUCCAAUUUUACCCUUAUUACAUCACUUUUCCAGAUUUUUCUUGCCCAACCGUCCAGCCCAUAUAAUUUGGGCCUAAUUUCCUUUUAAAUCCCUCCUUUUUAAUCACUUAAGCUAUUUAAUCACAAUUUAACAAAUUUUACACUAUUUUCAAUUUAGUCCUUUUUAGUUAAUUAACUAUCCGAACGUUAAAAUUUUCUAACGAAACUUUAAUACCAACUCAAUGACACU